rnacentral:rRNA from 1 species
UACGUAGGGUCCAAGCGUUAAUCGGAAUUACUGGGCGUAAAGCGUGCGCAGGCGGUUCUGAAAGUCCGCUGUGAAAGCCCCGGGCUUAACCUGGGAAUUGCGGUUGAAACUACAGGGCUAGAAUCUGGCAGAGGGGGGUGGAAUUCCACGUGUAGCAGUGAAAUGCGUAGAGAUGUGGAGGAACACCGAUGGCGAAGGCAGCCCCCUGGGCUGAGAUUGACGCUCAGGCACGAAAGCGUGGGGAGCAAACAGG